GUUGAAAAAUUUAUUUACAUUAUACUUUACAGCAUUACUUAUCUAUGUCAUAUAUGAAGUUUAUAGUAAAUUCAGAGUUAUUGCACCUAAGGUAAACACUAUACAGAAACAUUCACAGAAAUAGACCAUGAUUGUGACGCCAUAACUCUCCUCGUACUACACUCUAGUCAUUAAAGAUAAGGACAAUACCGUAAACUUCCAACUAUAAGCCCUGGGCUUACAUUCUUUCGUAAGCGAUUUUUGAUGGGCUUAUAUAGGGGGGGGGGAAACUUAUAUACAGGGGGCGUAUACAUGGACAAUCUUUUGUGUUAGUUUAAUAGUAAUAAACAAGUAUAGUAAUAGUGAUAAACAAGUGUUAAACAAGCA